rnacentral:tRNA from 1 species
GGGCCGGUCAGCUCAGUUGGUUGAGCGCGGUGCUGAUAAUACCAAGGUCACAAGUUUGAUUCCCGUUCGGUCCC